rnacentral:rRNA from 1 species
GUGGGGAAUAUUGCGCAAUGGGGGAAACCCUGACGCAGCAACGCCGCGUGAAGGAUGAAGGUUUUCGGAUUGUAAACUUCUUUGAUGAGGGACGAAUAAUGACGGUACCUCAAAAACAAGCCACGGCUAACUACGUGCCAGCAGCCGCGGUAAUACGUAGGUGGCGAGCGUUGUCCGGAAUUACUGGGUGUAAAGGGCGUGUAGGCGGGGAUGUAAGUCAGAUGUGAAAUGCCGAAGCUUAACUUCGGAGCUGCAUCUGAAACUGUGUCUCUUGAGUGCCGGAGAGGAAAGCGGAAUUCCCAGUGUAGCGGUGAAAUGCGUAGAUAUUGGGAGGAACACCAGUGGCGAAGGCGGCUUUCUGGACGGUAACUGACGCUGAGGCGCGAAAGCGUGGGGAGCAAACAGGAUUAGAAACCCGUGUAGUCC